AUUGAACGCUGGCGGCAUGCCUUACACAUGCAAGUCGAACGGUAACAGGUUAAGCUGACGAGUGUCGAACGGGUGAGUAAUGUAUCGGAACGUGCCCAUUCGCGGGGGAUAACUGCUCGAAAGAGCAGCUAAUACCGCAUACGACCUGAGGGUGAAAGCGGCGGAUCGCAAGACCUCGCGCCAUUGGAGCGGCCGAUAUCAGAUUAGGUAGUUGGUGAGGUAAAGGCUCACCAAGCCGACGAUCUGUAGCUGGUCUGAGCGGACGACCAGCUACACUGGGACUGAGACACGGCCCAGACUCCUACGGGAGGCAGCAGUGGGGAAUUUUGGACAAGGGGCGCAAGCGUGAUCCAGCCAGGCCGCGUGUGGGAAGAAGGCCUUCGGGUUGUAAACCGCUUUUGUCAGGGAAGAAAAGGUUCUGGCUAAUACCUGGGACUCAUGACGGUACCUGAAGAAUAAGCACCGGCUAACUACGUG
rnacentral:rRNA from 1 species